CAGCAGCCGCCGCGGGAAUACGAAGGGUGCAAGCGUUAAUCGGAAUUACUGGGCGUAAAGCGUGCGUAGGCGGUGAGUUAAGUCUGCUGUGAAAUCCCCGGGCUCAACCUGGGAAUGGCAGUGGAUACUGGCUCGCUAGAGUGUGUCAGAGGAUGGUGGAAUUCCCGGUGUAGCGGUGAAAUGCGUAGAGAUCGGGAGGAACAUCAGUGGCGAAGGCGGCCAUCUGGGACAACACUGACGCUGAGGCACGAAAGCGUGGGGAGCAAACAGGAUUAGAUACCCGAGUAGUCCCUGUCUCUUAUAC
rnacentral:rRNA from 1 species